AUUGAACGCUGGCGGCAUGCCUUACACAUGCAAGUCGAACGGCAGCACGGGAGCAAUCCUGGUGGCGAGUGGCGAACGGGUGAGUAAAGUAUCGGAACGUGCCCAGUCGUGGGGGAUAACGUAGCGAAAGUUACGCUAAUACCGCAUACGAUCUAUGGAUGAAAGCGGGGGAUCGCAAGACCUCGCGCGAUUGGAGCGGCCGCUAUCAGAUUAGGUAGUUGGUGGGGUAAAGGCUCACCAAGCCGACGAUCUGUAGCUGGUCUGAGAGGACGACAAGCCACACUGGGACUGAGAGACGGCCCCAACUCCGACGGGAGGCAGCAGUGGGGAAUUUUGGACAAUGGGCGAAAGCCUGAUCCAGCCAUGCCGCGUGCAGGAUGAAGGCCUUCGGGUUGUAAACUGCUUUUGUACGGAACGAAAAGGUUUGGCCUAAUAAGCUGAGCUCAUGACGGUACCGUAAGAAUAAGCACCGGCUAACUACGUGCCAGCAGCCGCAGUAA
rnacentral:rRNA from 1 species